GGAAUGUCUGGGCAGGGGCUGUAGAAUAGGAACAGCCCCCUCUCCCCCACACACAAUCCCUCAUGUGGUGACAGAGACCCCCUGAGGGGAUUGUGCAGAGGGUCUUGGUUCUUGGGUGGGCUGUGGAGCUGGGCACUCAGGGAAAGCUUUGCAUACCCACGAAGCUGCUAUCUCAGGCUCCUCUGGCAGGGAGUGUCAGGAUGAGAAUCCAGACCUGACGGCUACCCAGCCCUCUCACUUGCAGAUGCAAAAAUCCAGACUCAGAAAGGGAAGUAACUUCUCCAAUAGGGUGGGGUCUGACACCCAGGGCCCCCACCCCUGCCUACCUGGCCCUGCAGGGGCCUCCUGAGAGGUGUCUCAGGAGCAGACCCAGGGGCAGGGGGCACCAUGCACCCUUGUUGGAUAGGCAAAAGUCUUCCUGCUUCUUGGCAGCUGUGUGGUUUCAAAGCCCAGACAGCAGGGACUGAAAACUGAGCAAGCUACCCCUCUCCUGCCCCAGUUCCACCUCUCCUGUCCCCUUUUCCACCAAAGCUGAGAAAGGAGGGAUAGUGGAGACUCCAAAAAAACAGAAAAAAUUUAAACACACCACUAAGUAAAACAUUAUUAACUACCAUUGUGCUGAGCCCACAAACAGACUAACUCCUGGUCCCGCCCUACUGGAGCUGAAGCCACAGGCCUAUCAUCCCCAAGAGGCAGCAGUGCUCAGAUGUCCCACUUGAUGGCAAGCUCCUCCCAGGCGGCUGCGUUGAGGCUUUUCCCCAGAUAUAACAUGUCUAUGGGAGGAUUAUGACAUGGGCAGAUGAGAGUACCCAGCCAUGGAGGUGACAAUGUGCCUUAAAGCCUCACAGGGCAGCAGCCACCAGGAAGCAAGAUGGAGACCAGGAAGGUCCUGGAACACCAGAAUUUGGCCAACAGAGCCUGAGGGUGAACCCAGUUGCCUCCCCUUGGAACCGGAUGAAGCCCCAGAGGCACGUAGUCCUUUUUCCCAGACGGGGGUCCUGGUGCUGUUUCCCUGGGAAUGAGGCUUGAGCAUGAGCUCUCUGGGACCCAGCCCCCGACCAGAACUACGCAGUGCAUCCAGGCUUGAGGGAGGGACUGGAGCACCAGACACCCAAGGCUGCAACUUUGAAGAUUGGCCACUGCUGACAUCAUUGGCCACCCACCUGGGGCCAGAAAGAGCCCCUCUGCUGCCCCCAGAGCAUGGGUGAAGGGAUGAAUGCUCAGCCUACUGCCUCUUCUCAUACCAGGCCCAGCUGAUGGGAAUAUUUUGCGGAGAUAUUUCUAGAGCCAGUAGCAAUUAAAGCAUUUUCUCUUCCACUCCCCUUCCCCAAAACAAGAAUAAAUCAAUUUCCCAGCUAAUGAUUUCCUCCAUUAAAUU